GGGAUUGUAACUCAGUGGUAGAGUGCUUGCCUAGCAUGCAUGAGGCACUGGGUUGGAUCCUCAGCACCA
rnacentral:tRNA from 1 species